AGCGAACGCUGGCGGCAGGCCUAAUACAUGCAAGUCGAACGGUCUCUUCGGAGGCAGUGGCGGACGGGUGAGUAACGCGUGGGAAUAUGCCCUUUGGUACGGAACAACUGAGGGAAACUUCAGCUAAUACCGUAUGUGCCCUUCGGGGGAAAGAUUUAUCGCCAUUGGAGUAGCCCGCGUUGGAUUAGGUAGUUGGUGGGGUAAAGGCCUACCAAGCCUACGAUCCAUAGCUGGUCUGAGAGGAUGAUCAGCCACACUGGGACUGAGACACGGCCCAGACUCCUACGGGAGGCAGCAGUAGGGAAUCUUGCGCAAGUGGGACGAAAGCCUGACGCAGCCAUGCCGCGUGAAUGAUGAAGGUCUUAGGAUUGUAAAAUUCUUUCACCGGGGAAGAUAAUGACGGUACCCGGAGAAGAAGCCCCGGCUAACUUCGUG
rnacentral:rRNA from 1 species